rnacentral:RNase_P_RNA from 1 species
UUCGGCUUAGAGGAAAGUCCAUGCUCGCAUAGCCUGCGAUGGCUAUAACGUUUGCGCUGAGGGAAAAGAUAACCUCAGGUACGCGGGAGCGCGUAACGGCGGUGAAUAGUCUCCUCGAGACUAGAAGCCUGAAAGUGCCACAGAGACGAGACCGUCAGCGAUGACGGGAUGAAACGCGGUAAACCCCACAAGCGAGAAACCCAAAUUUGGUAGGGGAAGGAGCCACCUGAAUUGAAGGGGACGCUCCCAGAGAAAUCUGAGAUUAAUUGCUGCCUAAUACAAAACAUGGCUUACUG